rnacentral:rRNA from 1 species
AUUGAACGCUGGCGGCGUGCUUUACACAUGCAAGUCGAGCGGUAACAGGUUAAGCUGACGAGUGGCGAACGGGUGAGUAAUGCAUCGGAACGUGCCCGAUCGUGGGGGAUAACGCAGCGAAAGCUGCGCUAAUACCGCAUACGAUCUGAGGAUGAAAGCGGGGGACCGUAAGGCCUCGCGCGAUCGGAGCGGCCGAUGUCAGAUUAGGUAGUUGGUGGGGUAAAGGCUCACCAAGCCAACGAUCUGUAGCUGGUCUGAGAGGACGACCAGCCACACUGGGACUGAGACACGGCCCAGACUCCUACGGGAGGCAGCAGUGGGGAAUUUUGGACAAUGGGCGAAAGCCUGAUCCAGCAAUGCCGCGUGCAGGAAGAAGGCCUUCGGGUUGUAAACUGCUUUUGUACGGAGCGAAAAGGUUCUCUCUAAUACAGAGGGCUCAUGACGGUACCGUAAGAAUAAGCACCGGCUAACUACGUGCCAGCCGCCGCCGUAA